GACUACUGGGGUAUCUAAUCCUGUUUGAUACCCACACCUUCGCAGUUGAGCGUCAAUGACGGCUUGGAAGACUGCCUUCGCCUUCGGUAUUCCUCCUGAUCUCUGCGCAUUCCACCGCUACACCAGGAAUUCUGUCUUCCCCAACCGCAUUCCAGAUCUACAGUAUCUCCCGCCGUACGCCAGUUAAGCUGACGCCUUAAACGAAAAACUUAUAGAUCCGCCUGCCUGCCCUUUACGCCUAGUAAUUCCGGACAACGCUCGCAACCCCCGUGUUACCGCGGCUGCUGGCACGGAGUUAGCCGUUGCUUAUUCAUAUGCUAAUAUCUCUGAUCCCAUACUAUUCAUAUGGAACCCACUGCUCACAUAUAAAAGAACUUUACACCCCGAAGGGCUUCUUCGUUCACGCGGCGUCGCACUAUCAGUCUUUCGACCAUUGUAGACUAUUCUCGACUGCAGCCCCCCGUAGG
rnacentral:rRNA from 1 species